UUUUGCUCAGUUGGUUAGAGCGUGCGACUCAUAAUCGCCCGGUCGCUGGUUCGACUCCAGUACAGUGCGCCA
rnacentral:tRNA from 1 species